rnacentral:rRNA from 1 species
UAGCUUGCUAAUCGCUGACGAGUGGCGGACGGGUGAGUAAUGCUUGGGAACUUGCCUUCGGGAGGGGGAUAACAGUUGGAAACGACUGCUAAUACCGCAUAACGUCUACGGACCAAAGCGGGCUUCGGCUCGCACCUGAAGAGAGGCCCAAGUGAGAUUAGCUAGUUGGUAAGGUAAAGGCUUACCAAGGCGACGAUCUCUAGCUGUUCUGAGAGGAAGAUCAGCCACACUGGGACUGAGACACGGCCCAGACUCCUACGGGAGGCAGCAGUGGGGAAUAUUGCACAAUGGGGGAAACCCUGAUGCAGCCAUGCCGCGUGUGUGAAGAAGGCCUUCGGGUUGUAAAGCACUUUCAGUUGUGAGGAAAGGUUGGUAGUUAAUACCUGCCAGCUGUGACGUUAACAACAGAAGAAGCACCGGCUAACUCCGUGCCAGCAGCCGCGGUAAUACGGAGGGUGCGAGCGUUAAUCGGAAUUACUGGGCGUAAAGCGCACGCAGGCGGUUUGUUAAGCUAGAUGUGAAAGCCCCGGGCUCAACCUGGGAUGGUCAUUUAGAACUGGCAGACUAGAGUCUUGGAGAGGGGAGUGGAAUUCCAGGUGUAGCGGUGAAAUGCGUAGAUAUCUGGAGGAACAUCAGUGGCGAAGGCGGCUCCCUGGCCAAAGACUGACGCUCAUGUGCGAAAGUGUGGGUAGCGAACAGGAUUAGAUACCCUGGUAGUCCACACCGUAAACGCUGUCUACUAGCUGUUUGUGAAUUUAAUUCGUGAGUAGCGAAGCUAACGCGCUAAGUAGACCGCCUGGGGAGUACGGCCGCAAGGUUAAAACUCAAAUGAAUUGACGGGGGGCCCGCACAAGCGGUGGAGCAUGUGGUUUAAUUCGAUGCAACGCGAAGAACCUUACCUACACUUGACAUGCAGAGAACUUUCCAGAGAUGGAUUGGUG